rnacentral:tRNA from 3 species
CCGGAAUAGCUCAGUCGGUAGAGCAGAGGACUGAAAAUCCUCGUGUCAC